GCAGGGAUGGCCGAGUGGUCUAAGGCGCUAGACUCAAGCGAACAGCUUCGUUGCGGUGCUAACGGCGGGCGUUCUAGUAUCGUUAUCGAUGCGUGGGUUCGAAUCCCACUUCCUGCA
rnacentral:tRNA from 1 species